rnacentral:ncRNA from 1 species
UAAUGAUAGAGGUGCGGGGUUCAUCAGUAUUUUUGGCUGCGGAUACGAGAAGAUAUCCAGUCCAUGGCAGAUUGGCCAAAGAGAAAGGGAAGACCGCCGAAGAGCUUUCUUAUGCCAUACAGGAAGGUUCUGGGCUGACGCAGAAUAUGCGGCAGACUGUCACUUGUUGUGGAGCGCUAUCA